rnacentral:rRNA from 1 species
ACCCUAAGAAGAAGCGUCGGCUAACUACGUGCCAGCAGCCGCGGUAAGACGUAUGACGCGAGCGUUAUCCGGAAUUACUGGGCGUAAAGGGCCAGCAGGCGGCUUGGUAAGUUGUGCGUGAAAGCCUCGUGCUCAACGCGAGGAAGCCGGACAAUACUGUCAAGCUAGAGGGCAUCAGAGGGGAGUGGAAUUCCCGGAGUAGCGGUAAAAUGCGCAGAUAUCGGGAGGAACACCGAUGGCGAAGGCAGCUCCCUGGGAUGCACCUGACGCUAAGAGGCGAAAGCUAGGGGAGCGGACAGGAUUAGAGACCCUGGUAGUCCUAGCUGUAAACGCUGGGUGCUAGGUGUGGGACGUAGAAGUUCCGUGCCGGAGCAAACGCGAUAAGCACCCCGCCUGGGAAUUACGGUCGCAAGGCUAAAACUCAAACGAAUUGACGGGGCCCCGCACAAGCAGCGGAGCGUGUGGUUCAAUUCGAUGCUACACGAAGAACCUUACCUGGGUUUGACAUGUACGUGGUACGAAGGCGAAAGCCUAAGGACCCUUCGGGGAGCGUACACAGGUGCUGCAUGGCUGUCGUCAGCUCGUGCCGUGAGGUGUCGGGUUAAGUCCCGUAACGAGCGCAACCCUUGCCCUUAGUUACAAGUGUCUAAGGGGCCCGCCGGCGGGAAGCCGGAGGAAGGUGGGGAUGACAUCCAGCCAGCCCGGCCCUUAUGUCCAGGGCUACACACACGCUACAAUGGUCAGUACAAAGGGUAGCGAAGUCGCGAGGCGGAGCGAAUCUCAACAAAGCUGAUCGUAGUUCGGAUUGCAGGCUGCAACCCGCCUGCAUGAAGCUGGAGUUGCUAGUAACCGCGCGUCAGCCAUAGUGCGGUGAAUACGUACCCGGGGCUUGUACACACCGCCCGUCACGUCAUGGGAGUCGGUAACGCCUGAAGCCGGUAGUCUGGCCCGCAAGGGGGACGCUGUCGAAGGCGGGA